UUGUUUAGGUGACAAUACAUGGAGCUGCCAUUCACAAAACUUGAAGUAGCUUUCAUUUUGCUGGCUUUUGUGAUUUUCACCUUGUUUAUCCUGGCUUCUAUUUACAACGAACCUGACACAAAAAAUGCAGACAAGGAAUACUAUCCACACAAAGAAAGGAGAAAUAAAAGACAGACCUACAAGAUAAAGACAAAGCCUUCUGCAGACUCCGUUGUCGUUAAAACUGUUUAGUACUGAAAGAACUCCAAAGUUGGCUUGCUAAAAAUUCUCUCGAAAGAGAUUUAAAAAGAGCUGGUUCCUGGAGAUGAACAAAGACAAAGGAAGUGAAUGUGAAUGGAAAGGGUUCUUCAGGCAGCAAAAAGAAUCUAAACAUUAAAAGCCAACUCAAUGAACUAUGCCAUGCAAAGCAAUUUUACUCUCUCUUUUUAAUAAAAUUGCUUUUAUAUUGCUGUGAUGGGGGGAAAAAAGAUAUUGAGGCUUUUUACACAUUUUAUCACCUCCAAUUGUUGGAAUGAUCCAAACUUUUUAAUUGCUGAUCUUCUUUUGUUCUCAGUUCCUCUUCCCUUCCCAGGUAUUCUUUCCUCUAUCAGCAACAACUAAGGAACACAAAACUGAUGUGACUCUUAUAUUGCAUGAGCAAGAUUAUGGGUCCUGGAAAAUUGGCACUGAGAUUUUCAUAUAAAAGGAGAAUGUCAAACACUUGCUUACUCUAAAAUCUUUUCUACCACUGCUUCACAACUGCCUUCCUUGCUCAGAAG